UUUUAAAUGGCCGCAGUAUUUUGACUGUGCAAAGGUAGCAUAAUCAUUAGUUUUUUAAUUAAAAGCUUGUAUGAAAGGCUGGACGAGGUAAAAUCUGUCUCUAUUUAAAUUAUAGUAGAAUUUAACUUUUAAGUUAAAAGGCUUAAAUAUUAUUAAAAGACGAGAAGACCCUAUAGAUCUUUAUAGUUUAUUAAAUUAAAUUAAUUUAGAAAUAUUAAUGUUUUAUUUAACUAAAUUAUUUUAUUGGGGUAAUAAAAAGAUUGAAUUAAUUCUUUUUUACAAUAAACAUUAAUUUAUGAAUAUUAAUGAUCCAGUUUUACUGAUUAUAAGAUUAAGUUACCUUAGGGAUAACAGCGUAAUUUUUUUAGAGAGUUCAUAUCGAUAAAAAAGUUUGCGACCUCGAUGUUGGAUUAAAGAUUAUUUUAGGUGUAGAAGCUUAAUAAUUUUGGUCUGUUCGACCAUUAAAUCUUUACAUGAUCUGAGUUCAGACCGGCGUAAGCCAGGUCGGUUUCUAUCUUUAAUAAAAUAAAAUAUUUUAGUACGAAAGGACCAAAUAUUUGAUAUAUUUAUAUUUAAUUUAUUGAAUAUUA
rnacentral:rRNA from 1 species